GAAAGAAAUAUCAAGCAUGAGUGAGCGGGGGAAGGGCAGAGAGAGUGGGAGAGAGAAAAUUCCAAACAGGCUCCAUGCUGAGACCUCAGAUCCUGACACGGGCUCCAUCUCAUGAUCUGUGUGUGAGAUCAUGACCUGAGCCAAGAUUUGGACCCCUAACCGACUGAACCACCCAAGCACCCUAAUAUGAUAUCUUAAAAUUUUAGACCCAUGCAGAAUCUGGGGACAAGGAUUAUAUCUACGACCUUCUCCAAAUUUCUGUAUUUGACUUGAGAUGGCACAGCAGAUGGCAAUGAAAUCACUUAGCAAGCAGGCAGUGGAGACUGCAACCUGAGGGGUGGCCCCACAUCUACAGAUCUGCAAUGGAGGGAAGCCUGAGGAGGGGACAGAAGAUAACACAGCUUCUUUAUACAGAACUUUUAAUAGAAAGAAGAGCGACAACACAGCGCUGGCAUGUCAACAAAAGAACACUUUGAUAGCCAGACAAAGAAGAAAUACUAUGGCUACGUCAACCUUGGAGGGUAGCCCUGAAGGCAAGAACUUGAGCUCAGCCAGGUAGGAGAAACAUGAAGAAUGUUCCUUAUCUUGGUUCUUAAUUAAUUACCUCAGAACAAAGAGUUAAUAAUUGCCACUGACAUCAACAAUUGUCUGACCUGUGGAAGUUGUUCUGAGGUUCUUGGACAGAGGACUGUAAAAGCCUGGGGACUCACUGGGGGUUAGGAGAUCCAUAAUCUCUUGGUGGCAUUGCCACUUCUGUUUGGUCAGAGGGCAGCAGUCAAUUGGGGGACACAGGUUUGGCAGAACCUGUUAGGUAGGAGGAAGG
rnacentral:lncRNA from 1 species